AACAAGGCGUACCUGCGGACCUGCGGAGGGAUCAUUACAAGUGACCCCGGUCUUACCACCGGGAUGUUCAUAACCCUUUGUUGUCCGACUCUGUUGCCUCCGGGGCGACCCUGCCUUCGGGCGGGGGCUCCGGGUGGACACUUCAAACUCUUGCGUAACUUUGCAGUCUGAGUAAACUUAAUUAAUAAAUUAAAACUUUUAACAAUGGAUCU
rnacentral:misc_RNA from 1 species